rnacentral:lncRNA from 10 species
UUAGAAGAUGCUGCUGUUUUCAUUAAUAAAACAACCAGAUGGGCAAGCAUUAAAACAGGUUGAAACUUUGAAACUCUUCCUAAAAAAAAAAAAAAAUAAGAAAAGAAAAUAACAUAGAGAACAUGUGGGUUCUCAAAUUUCCAAAUGGCCUUCAUUUCCUGUUGUGAUUUUAUUCCUAAGUUGGUUUUUUAAAACUUGUGGCUGGCAGCAUAUGACUAGUGUCCUAAUCCCCUGAGCAAUGUUAAGGAAAAUUAUACAUGCCAUAAAAUGCUAAUCAGCACAGGAAGGCCUGGGACCAUAC